AGGGUAAACGCUGGCGGCGUGCCUAAAACAUGCAAGUCGCACGGGGAAGUUUCGACGACCCAGUGGCAGACGGCUGAGUAACGCGUGGGUGACGUACCUGUUGGUGGGGAAUAACUGCCCGAAAGGGUGGCUAAUACCGCAUACGCCUGCACCUGCGUUGGUGUAGGGAAAGCAGCAAUGCGCCGAUGGAGCGGCCCGCGUCCGAUUAGCCAGUUGGUGGGGUAACGGCCUACCAAAGCGACGAUCGGUAGCUGGUCUUAGAGGAUGAUCAGCCAGACUGGGACUGAGACACGGCCCAGACUCCUACGGGAGGCAGCAGUUAGGAAUUUUGGGCAAUGGGCGCAAGCCUGACCCAGCAACGCCGCGUGGGUGACGAAGGCCUUCGGGUUGUAAAGCCCUUUUCUCAGGGAAGAUGAUGACGGUACCUGAGGAAGAAGCACCGGCUAACUACGUGCCAGCAGCCGC
rnacentral:rRNA from 1 species